UGAACUCUUCUUUUAGUUUCUUGAUGCUU
rnacentral:piRNA from 1 species